UGCCAGCCGCCGCGGUAAUACGGAGGGCGCAAGCGUUACUCGGAAUCACUGGGCGUAAAGCGCGUGUAGGCGGUUCGUUAAGUCUGAUGUGAAAGCCCGGGGCUCAACCCCGGAAGUGCAUUGGAAACUGGCGAACUUGAGUACGGGAGAGGAAAGUGGAAUUCCUAGUGUAGAGGUGAAAUUCGUGGAUAUUAGGAAGAACACCAGUGGCGAAGGCGGCUUACUGGACCGGUACUGACGCUGAGGUACGAAAGCGUGGGGAGCGAACAGGAUUAGAUA
rnacentral:rRNA from 1 species